rnacentral:lncRNA from 1 species
ACAGAACUUCUUGGCAUGCUGGAUUUAUCCAGCAAGAAAAAGAAAUAGAGGGAAGACAUUGGCUGAUGAUCUCUCGCUUGUAGACUUAGUUGCUUAAUUGCCAAUGAGGGAGAGAUGCUGCUUGCAGGGAAAAUAAUGAUGAUGGAAAUUAGUUGAGGUUGAGGGGAAAAGAAGAUGGAACAGAAGUAGAAGACUUGAAGAGGUAAGGUACGUCCCUUAAAAUAUAUAUAUUUUUAGUAUUUAUCAACUCCUUGGAGAAGUUCACAUGACAUUCUGUUUGACGUAAAAUCAGCAUGUGUCCCAAGUAAAUCAACAACAGCUGUUUUAAAUAGCAGAUUGUAUUUCAAAAUAUCAUUAUGAACCAGGGGAAGAAUUGCAUGGAUGCCUGUGUCUCCAGAUUACAGUGAUGGAACCUAGCAUCUGGACAUUGUGGCCAUGGGCAGACAGAUCUCAGAGUUGGCUGGAAGAUGGUUAUCUAUUUAAUGAAACAGUGAUCUUUAGGGGGAAAUUUUUUUCAUGAUUCAUGGGUUAAAAAUGCCAGCAAAAAAGAAUGAAAGGAAAAAAGGCUCGGUUACAUUCAGAGGUGUCAUGCUUCUGUUGGCUAAAGCUUCUACUCAGAAUCCUGUGCAUUUCUCUGAAUGGGGUAGCAAAGCAGUUUAAUACUAGUCUGUUCACUUCAAAAGUACUCACACCAAUAAACUAAGUAAGAUUCAGU